AUAUGAUCCACCGUCCCAAGAUGGCUGCCAGGUGCGGUGGCUAAACCUGGGCACAUCUGAAGCCGGUGCCGACCAUCAGGGCCGAGUUGCGACGAGAGAGUGUUAUUAAGCCGAGUUGGCCAGGUCCCUAAGUCUUGGAUGGCGAGCUGUAGAUAGGCCUUGAGCCUGAGCCCAAGGAUCUCCACCUCUCAACCCCUGAACUCCACCUGCUCUGGUCGGGCGGUAGGCGGCUUAUAGCCGAAACCCUUGCCUCGCAUCUCAUUACUCUGCAGCCCUUUGCACUACCUCAUACACACCCUGCCCAUAAACUGAACUGUCACUACAAACUGCCAUAUCCACAACCCCAACCCUGGGACCCCAUUUUGAAAAUUCCUAGCGCCAACACUGCUGUCAACAGAGGAGAAAAAUGCUUUAUUUAAAUAAAUAUAUUAUUUAUAAAGCAAGUUCGAGUAUCAUUGGCAAAUUUUCACCU